rnacentral:rRNA from 1 species
UCCCCUAGUAACUGCGAGUGAAGCGGGAAAAGCUCAAAUUUAAAAUCUGGCGGUCUUCGGCCGUCCGAGUUGUAGUCUGGAGAAGUGCUUUCCCGCGCUGGACCGUGUAUAAGUCUCUUGGAACAGAGCGUCAUAGAGGGUGAGAAUCCCGUCUUUGACACGGACUACCAGUGCUUUGUGAUGCGCUCUCAAAGAGUCGAGUUGUUUGGGAAUGCAGCUCAAAAUGGGUGGUGAAUUCCAUCUAAAGCUAAAUAUUGGCGAGAGACCGAUAGCGAACAAGUACCGUGAGGGAAAGAUGAAAAGCACUUUGGAAAGAGAGUUAAACAGUACGUGAAAUUGCUGAAAGGGAAACGCUUGAAGUCAGUCGCGUCGUCCGGAACUCAGCCUUGCUUUCGCUUGGUGCACUUUCCGGAUGGACGGGUCAGCAUCGAUUUUGACCGUCGGAAAAGGGCUGGAGUAAUGUGGCACCUCCGGGUGUGUUAUAGACUCUAGUCGCAUAGGGCGGUUGGGAUCGAGGAACGCAGCGCGCCGCAAGGCAGGGGUUCGCCCACUUUCGCGCUUAGGAUGCUGGCAUAAUGGCUUUAAACGACCCGUCUUGAAACACGGACCAAGGAGUCUAACAUACCUGCGAGUGUUUGGGUGGAAAACCCGAGCGCGUAAUGAAGAUGAAAGUUGAGACCUCUGUCGUGGAGGGCAUCGACGCCCGGACCUGACGUUCUCUGAAGGAUCCGCGGUAGAGCAUGUAUGUUGGGACCCGAAAGAUGGUGAACUAUGCCUGAAUAGGGUGAAGCCAGAGGAAACUCUGGUGGAGGCUCGUAGCCGAUUCCUGACGUGCAAAUCGAUCGUCAAAUUU